rnacentral:tRNA from 1 species
CGCCGCCGUAGCCGAUGGGCUCGGCGGCGUCGCGGAGCUGUUGCAGGUAGUCGGGCACCUUCCCGGCGACCGCCUGUUCGACGACGGCGGCGGUCU